rnacentral:rRNA from 1 species
UGCAGCCAUGCCGCGUGUGUGAAGAAGGCCUUCGGGUUGUAAAGCACUUUCAGUUGUGAGGAAAAGUUAGUAGUUAAUACCUGCUAGCCGUGACGUUAACAACAGAAGAAGCACCGGCUAACUCCGUGCCAGCAGCCGCGGUAAUACGGAGGGUGCGAGCGUUAAUCGGAAUUACUGGGCGUAAAGCGCACGCAGGCGGUUUGUUAAGCUAGAUGUGAAAGCCCCGGGCUCAACCUGGGAUAGUCAUUUAGAACUGGCAGACUAGAGUCUUGGAGAGGGGAGUGGAAUUCCAGGUGUAGCGGUGAAAUGCGUAGAUAUCUGGAGGAACAUCAGUGGCGAAGGCGACUCCCUGGCCAAAGACUGACGCUCAUGUGCGAAAGUGUGGGUAGCGAACAGGAUUAGAUACCCUGGUAGUCCACACCGUAAACGCUGUCUACUAGCUGUUUGUGACUUUAAGUCGUGAGUAGCGAAGCUAACGCGCUAAGUAGACCGCCUGGGGAGUACGGCCGCAAGGUUAAAACUCAAAUGAAUUGACGGGGGCCCGCACAAGCGGUGGAGCAUGUGGUUUAAUUCGAUGCAACGCGAAGAACCUUACCUACACUUGACAUGCUGAGAACUUUCUAGAGAUGGAUUGGUGCCUUCGGGAACUCAGACACAGGUGCUGCAUGGCUGUCGUCAGCUCGUG